rnacentral:rRNA from 1 species
CCUACGGGAGGCAGCAGUGAGGAAUAUUGGUCAAUGGCCGUAAGUCUGAACCAGCCAAGUCGCGUGAAGGAAGAAGGAUCUAUGGUUUGUAAACUUCUUUUAUAGGGGAAUAAAGGUAUCCACGUGUGGAUAUUUGCAUGUACCCUAUGAAUAAGCAUCGGCUAACUCCGUGCCAGCAGCCGCGGUAAUACGGAGGAUGCGAGCGUUAUCCGGAUUUAUUGGGUUUAAAGGGUGCGUAGGUGGUUUUUUAAGUCAGUUGUGAAAGUUUGUGGCUCAACCAUAAAAUUGCCAUUGAUACUGGCAGUGUGGAGGACAUGUGAGGUAGGCGGAAUGCGUGGUGGAGCGUUGAAAU